CAACUCAUGUUUCUUUGUCCACCGACACAAUCAUGUCCAACUCGAGCAUUUCCGUCCGGCCGCGGUCCAUUAUUAUCCAGACCGCAGAGGCACCUCAGCAGCUCAACUCGCCUCGUACAACCCACAUCAGGAAGAUGCCGGGGGUGGUCGGUGAUGCGUCGAUGAGGCUCGGUACUUGGGACAACUUUACACUGCUCGCGGAGUUCCCCCUGGCGCCAAAAAGCAAGCGUGGCCCGUUCCACGCUCGCACGACACAGCACGGCUGCCACCGGGUCAGCGGGUAACGAGGCCCCGUGACGGGGUCGUCCAGACCGAAGUGCUCCGCGCCUCUCCGUAUUAUUUGCUCUUCUCGUCAACCUCCUCGUGAUGGAAGGCCGGUGGUUUCCUCCCUUUCCAGAUCCCAACAGCCGAACACCAUCGCAUCCGCCUCUCUCACCACUUGCCCUCCCCAAUUUUUGUGCGCACCACACUUGCUGCCCUGCGCAUUCCCAACGAGUCCUGGUAGCAGGAAAGUAAAAGGGAAACAGAGAAGAUUUAGAGGAAGACAAGAAGAACAAGGCAGGAACCGCACAUCCUUGGGUGAUCUCAGGAACAGCUCCUAGUGGGUUCUCAUUCAUCCUCCGUCCCCACCUACCCGUAGGCGUUUAAAACAACGUCAAGAAGCAAGAAAAGCUUUCGGUGCUUCUUUCCACAGGUGUAGCCAGCCAGCUGCCGCCGCUGCCGGUGCAAUUUGGGAGCUGCGAAGGGGGAGAAGGGGCUCUUCGUGCCGUUUCGGAGAUGAGCUACGGGAGCAGCUCGAUCACUUCAGGUGCCAAGACUACUGCGAGGACGUUCGAGUACGGGAGGACACAUGUGGUCAGACCCAAAGGGAGGCACCUGGCUACUGUUGUGUGGCUUCAUGGCCUAGGUGAUCACGGAGCAAGCUGGUCCCAACUCCUGGAAACCCUCCCUCUCCCAAAUAUUAAGUGGAUUUGCCCAACUGCCCCUACGAGGCCCGUAGCAGUUUUUGGUGGUUUUCCUUCAAAUGCUUGGUUUGAUGUCGGAGAUCUGUCGGAAAGUGGUCCUGAGGACAUUGAAGGAAUGGAUGCAUCAGCUGCACACAUUGCAAAUUUGUUAUCAGCAGAGCCUGCUGAUAUCAAACUUGGUGUUGGCGGCUUUAGUAUGGGUACCGCCACUGCCCUAUACUCUGCAACUUGUUGCGCUUAUGGGAAAUAUGGAAGUGGCAAGCUAUACCCAGUCAAUUUAAGUGCUGUUGUUGGUCUAAGUGGCUGGCUUCCAUGUGCCCGGAGCUUAAAGAACAAGUUGGAAGUCUCUCAAAAUGCUGCGAGACGGACUUCUUCCUUGCCUAUUUUACUUUGCCACGGAAAAGGCAUCUCUUCAUACAUUGACAUGCAAAUGAGCUUUAUCAUUCUGCACAUAAAAAUUGCUUCUUUAUUAUUCUUUCAAGAUGCAUGCUUUGCCUUUUUGGUUCUUGCAUUCUAUUUACAUGGAAUAAGUGGGACAAUGAGAUUCUUUUCUGUGAAAUCACAUCCAAAAAAAAAAAUCUAUUUAGGAAAGUCAUGAACAUACAAGAUAAUUUUAUCGAUGUACAGUAUUCCCAUGUUCCAUUUGACAAAUAAUGAGGCAUUAUACAAGAGAAUAUAUUGUGCACCUAUUAUCCAAAAUGCGGUAUGCAGAAAACUGAAGUCAGUUGAUGAUCUAGUCGAGUGGAUAAGCCUUAGCUUGAGGGAAAAUCAUAUUUGGAGAAUUGCUCAACACUCUACCCAAAUUCAUGUGAAUUGCUCUUUCUACGAGUUACAAAAGAUUUGGUGUAAACUGAUUCAGAAUAUACCAAUGACUAUUGCUCUUUCCAAGUUUGAUGUACGAGCUGAAAUUUUGGAUAUGAACAUAUUUUCUUGUUUCUUCUAGUGCAUCCUGGAUAUUUAGUCAAUAAUGGUUAGUCCGCUAGCAGGUGCGGUAAAUAUUUCUGUUCAGCAUAGGAUUCUUUUGACUGUCAUUAAAAGACCAUUCUUGAUCAAAAUAAUCAAAAGAUUCAUUUGCUUGACUAUAUGAAAACUGUUGUUUCUGUUCAUAUCGGAGCAUCAUUCAAAUUGAUACGAGUAAUAAUUUUUUCUCAAGUUCUUUAUGGAAGUUGCAUUUGAUCCUCAUGAUUCAUCCAAAAGCUGCAGCAAUAUUGCAUUCUGGUAUUCCAAAUGUUUAUCCCAGUAGUCCAAGUUUUAGAAGUUGCGCGACUUCCCUGUGGAGCAGUAUUACAGUUUACAAUAGUACCUUUAAAUUGAAUUCUUACAGGAGAUGAUGUAGUGCUGUAUAAACAUGGAGAGAAAUCUUCUCAGGUUCUAAAAUCAGUCGGAUUCGAGAAUGUUACUUUCAAGACAUAUAACGGGCUCGGCCACUAUACAGUCCCGGUAGAGAUGGAGGACGUCUGCAAAUUUCUCGUU